rnacentral:rRNA from 1 species
CUACGGGUGGCUGCAGUAAGGAAUAUUGCGCAAUGGAGGCAACUCUGACGCAGCCAUGCCGCGUGCAGGAAGAAGGCCUUAUGGGUCGUAAACUGCUUUUAUUUAGGAAUAAACCCCCGAACGUGUUCGGGGCUGAAGGUACUAAACGAAUAAGCACCGGCUAACUCCGUGCCAGCAGCCGCGGUAAUACGGAGGGUGCAAGCGUUAUCCGGAUUUAUUGGGUUUAAAGGGUGCGCAGGCGGGCUAUUAAGUCAGUGGUGAAAUCCCGGGGCUCAACUCCGGAACUGCCAUUGAUACUGAUAGUCUUGAGUUUGGUUGAAGUGGGCGGAAUGUAGCAUGUAGCGGUGAUAUGCAUAGAUAUGCUACAGAACACCAAUCGCGAAGGCAGCUCACUAAGCCAAAACUGACGCUCAUGCACGAAAGCGUGGGGAUCAAACAGGAUUAGAUACCCCUGUAGUC